UGUUGCUUAUCGAAUGGAAGUAGAUUUCCGUGUUAAAAGUGAGCAACAUAUACUAUCGCGUUAUAAUUGUAUAAUAUUUCUCUCUUAGUUAAUGCUUAUAAUAGCCCAAAUAGUUGACAAUAGGUACGGCAUUAAUAUUUACACUUUAGUAAUAACCCCCUAGCGAAGCUUAUUCAACAUUUCCUCGAACUGUCAAAAUCGGUUGUUGCCUUAAAAAUACUUAGCGAGCUAGCUAGCCUCUAGCGAGUGGAGUCGUACUUCAGCUCUUCACUAUAUUUCAAAAGCGAAACGUUUGUUGCAGAAUAUAAAUACUGAAUAAGUUGAAGACCAUCUUCCCGUAUUGUUUCGAAGCGUGCGUACCUUCGCAAGCGAACUUUCGCUCUCGAGAAGCGCUUGGUGGCGACUGAAGUGCAGCUGGAUGUGACAGGUUCGUCAUCAGGUACCCAGAUGCCUAAGGUGACGUCAGUAUUCAGUGUCAGUUGAUGAGGUUGGCAGUUUUGCAUACAAGAGAGAUUAAUCCCCCCAACCCCCACCUCCCCAAAAACAUUUGACAAAACCAUUGCUUGUGGAGCAUCAGAUUAUAUAUAUAGCUAUAAAGGCAUAAGUAGGUUUGUUUAUGAUGGAACUGUAAAGCAUGUUUAGCCUCACUGGUGUCAACGAAACACCCAGGCUGCUGCGUCAUUCGCAGCCUUUGUAUGAGACAGAGGCAGGGGGAGAGUGAGACAGACACAAGGAGAGACAGACGGUACAGCUGUUCUAUUGAAUCUCAAUUGUCAAUAGAGAUCAAGGGGUUUUUUCCCCCAAAGAAAUUCUGAUGCAAUAACACUAAUGUUCACUACUGUGUAAUUUUCCAGUCCAGCAAACUAAGGAAUUAGAUUGAAAUAGAGGUUCAACAAUAGCUUCAGAAAUAGGGGAAACAUACAGGUGAGGGAUAAGGAGACAAGGGAUGUGUAAGAGAAGGGGGGAGAGGUGGUGGUGUAGGUGAGUUUAGAGGAUGGAUGCUGAUGGGUUGUAGAUGAGAGACAGCAGGAGGUGCAAUGCUCUUGUUUCCUGGGGGAUGGUGUUAAAUGUAGUUAGAGAACAUAGACAAGGACAGUGCUGAUCUUUAUUAUGCGACUGCAACAACUCUUCUGUUACUGGUUAUGUGCAGACUUGAACUUCCUUUCUAUUGGAAAACAAUUAAGGUGGUGCUGAUCUGAAUGUAAGUAUAGUCAAGGUCACCAGGAGAUGCAUGGACAAAAAAAUAAAUAAUGUGAUAGGUAGUUUAAUGGGGCAUGAAAUUGGGGAAAUACCUUUUAAGAUCAGCAUUCAGAGGUUGGUAUUGUAAGCAUAGUUUUCACCCCAUAGUCUGCUCUGUUCCAGUAAAGAGCUGUGUUUCAUAGUAGCUGUUCUAUUGGCUGGAGCUGUUAAGGGGCAGAGCCAUAGGCUGGUGGGCAGGAAGGGGCUGGCUUUGAGGUGGUGGUAGUGGUGGUGUGGGUGACGUGUUUCUGCCAGAUAGUUGGACUAGACACUCUUCUGCUUCCUGCCUGCCUCGCUUGCUUGCUCUGUUGCUGAGAGAGAGAGAGAGAGACAUCGAGAGAAAAUCCCUGUCUAGGCAUGGACCUCCGGCUGCAGCACUCGGCAGCUCGUGAGAAAUGACAACAUUUCACAUGGUCAUUAACUCCAGUUGCUGAGGCUGAAGGGAGCGCUGUACUGGAGCUCAGUGUCGCAGAAGCACUGGGUGCCUCCUACAUUUGGGACAGCAGACAGAGAGGCACACACCAGAACUUCAGGACCCAGUCAAACAAGAUCAUUGACAGACAGUGCCUUGCGAGAGAGCAUACCUACUUGAAGAUUCCUUGGCAUUUCUGGAGAGGUUCACAUUUUUCCAUCUGGAGUUGUGAUCGGAUAUAGCUCAGCCACCCCUAAGCCCUUGGUUUGUCUUUACCUGUGCACAGUGUGAAGAAACAUCUGGCCAAUGUGUCAGAGCUCAGAGAGAGUAGCUCCUGAAGACUUUUAAAUAAUAGAAAGCAACUUUUUGUUGUCUUAAAGUGUGCCAUUGCACCUCAAAAUAGCACCAAUUCUGCUCCUCAAAAUCUACCCUUUCACAGAUAUCAUCACUCACACAGAAGACAUUUUGAGGACGUCGGCACAACCAGCAGAGCUUGUCUCUGAGCAUGUCCCCUCUGCCUUGUCAGAGGUCUGCACCUGAGACUUACUGAUUGAUGAACAAUUAGCUGUUUAAUCGACAAACUCUACAAUAGCAGUGCAGUCUCAUGCUCCGGUCACAGAGACUUUGCCACUCUAUUACCUCCACUUUCCUGUCUGCAAGGACAAACCUCAUCCACUGACCUGAAGCAGAUCAUUUAUAGCUACUUGUUCCAUCAGUUUUAGUUGUUGUGUGUUUUGUUUUUAUAGUGGAAUACUCUGAAGCACCUCCUGCUUAAACCAAGUGGCUCCACUCCACUCCAGCUCCACAGCUAGCGCUACUGACAUGGCUCUAAACAUUGCCUCGAUACGAGACACAAAAUGGCUGACCCUGGAAGUGUGCCGGCAGUUUCAGAGAGGGACUUGUUCACGCAGCGAUGAGGAAUGCAAAUUUGCCCACCCACCCAAAAGCUGCCAGGUGGAGAACGGGAGGGUGAUCGCCUGUUUUGACUCGUUAAAGGGCCGUUGCACGCGAGAGAACUGCAAAUACCUCCACCCGCCUGCUCACCUGAAGACUCAGCUCGAGAUCAACGGGCGAAAUAACCUGAUCCAACAGAAGACGGCAGCUGCCAUGUUGGCUCAACAGAUGCAGUUCAUGAUCCCUGGCACAACGAUGCAGCCUGUGCAGACAUUUCCAGUCAGCCAGGCCCUGGGCUCCAGCACAGGUUUGAGCUACACACCAUACCUGACUCCCAUGUCCCACAGCAUGGGCCUGGUGCCCACAGACAUCCUUCCCAGCACCCCUGUUAUCGUUCCCGGCAGCCCGCCUGUCUCUGUGACCACCGGCUCUUCCUCCAGCCAGAAACUUCUGCGCACCGACAAACUGGAGGUUUGCCGCGAGUUUCAGAGGGGCAACUGUGCCCGCGGCGAGACCGACUGCCGCUUUGCUCACCCAAGCGACAGUCCCAUGAUCGACACCAGCGACAACACAGUCACCGUCUGUAUGGACUACAUCAAAAGCCGCUGCUCCCGUGAGAAGUGCAAGUACUUCCACCCCCCAGCUCACCUGCAGGCCAAGAUUAAGGCCGCCCAACACCAGGCCAGCCAGACAGCUGUGGCUGGGGCCACAGCUGCAGCCAUGACUCAGUCGACUGCCAAAGCAAUGAAGCGACCCCUCGAGGCAACUGUAGACCUGGCGUUCCCCCACAGCAUCCUCCAACCCCUACCAAAGAGACCAGCACUUGAGAAGAGCAACGGAGCGAGCUCCCUGUUCAGCCCCAGUGUUUUGCACUACCAGCAGGCGCUGGCCAAUGCACAGCUCCAGCAGCCUGCUUUCUUUCCCACAGGGUCAGUCUUGUGCAUGACUCCUGCUAGCAGUCUUGUCCCAAUGAUGUACAGUGCUACGCCUGCUACUGUCUCUGCAGCAACAACUCCUGCCACAAGUGUCCCCUACGCAGCAACAGCACCAGCCAAUCAGGCCAACAGUGUGUGCACUUCCUGUGAGUCAUCGUCUCUUCCUGUAAUUGGCAUGCAGCAGCAGUAGCAGCAGGAAGCAGAGCUGUUCUUUAAAGAUGCAUGUUGGACAAGGAGCCAGAGAUACACUGACAUCAUCCUGAAGUAAGCAUCACGAAGGGAACGGAGUGUCACGAAGCUGCACUAGGAAACCCAAAACAGCCCCUGUGUAAAUACU